ACGAACGCUGGCGGCGUGCUUAACACAUGCAAGUCGAACGGAAAGGCCCCUUUGGGGGUACUCGAGUGGCGAACGGGUGAGUAACACGUGAGUAACCUGCCCUUGACUUCGGGAUAACUUCAGGAAACUGGGGCUAAUACCGGAUAGGAAUCCUUGCUGCAUGGUGGGGUUGGGAAAGUUCCGCGGGUUUGGGUUGGACUGGCGGCUUUUCAGCUUGUUGGGGGGGUGGUGGCUUACCAAGGCUUUGACGGGGAGCCGGCCUGGGAGGGCGACCGGCCACAUUGGGACUGAGAUACGGCCCAGACUCCUACGGGGGGCAGCAGUGGGGAAUAUUGCACAAUGGGCGGAAGCCUGAUGCAGCAACGCCGCGUGCGGGAUGACGGCCUUCGGGUUGGAAACCGCUUUCAGCAGGGGCGAAGCUUGUGGUGACGGUACCUGCAGAAGAAGCACCGGCUAACUACGUG
rnacentral:rRNA from 1 species